rnacentral:rRNA from 1 species
UGGCUUCCAUCUGGAAGAAAUCUGGAGACAGGUGCUGCAUGGCUGUCGUCAGCUCGUGUCGUGAGAUGUUGGGUUAAGUCCCGCAACGAGCGCAACCCUUGCCUUUAGUUGCCAGCAGUUCGGCUGGGCACUCUAAAGGGACUGCCGGUGUUAAACCGGAGGAAGGUGGGGAUGACGUCAAGUCCUCAUGGCCUUUAUGACCAGGGCUACACACGUACUACAAUGGCCGAUACAAAGGGCAGCGACACUGCGAGGUGAAGCCAAUCCCGUAAAAUCGGUCUCAGUCCGGAUUGGAGUCUGCAACUCGACUCCAUGAAGUUGGAAUCGCUAGUAAUCGUGGAUCAGCAUGCCACGGUGAAUACGUUCCCGGGCCUU